rnacentral:rRNA from 1 species
UGGGGAAUAUUGGACAAUGGGCGCAAGCCUGAUCCAGCAAUACCGCGUGUGUGAAGAAGGCCUGAGGGUUGUAAAGCACUUUCAAUUGGGAGGAAAACAGGCAGGUUAAUAUCCUGUCUCUUGACAUUACCUUUAGAAGAGGCACCGGCUAACUCCGUG